rnacentral:rRNA from 1 species
AAAACUAAACCAGGGAUUCCCCUAGUAACGGCGAGUGAAGAGGGAAAAGCCCAGCACCGAAGCCUGCGGCAGUUUUGCUGUUAGGCAAUGUGGUGUUUGGGUCGGCUCGUGGGAUCGCCACUCCACUCGAAGUCCAGCAUUGAGUAUGGUUACUGGAUUUGGCCCAGAGAGGGUGAAAGGCCCGUACGGGUGGAGGUUCAGACAUGUGAGGCGGUUCACCAGGUCGACCUUAGAGUCGGGUUGUUUGGGAAUGCAGCCCAAAGUGGGUGGUAAACUCCAUCCAAGGCUAAAUACAAGCACGAGUCCGAUAGCGAACAAGUACCGUGAGGGAAAGUUGAAAAGUACUCUGAAGAGAGAGUAAACAGUACGUGAAACCGCAUGCAGGUAAACGGGUGGCGUCAAGCUGCAAGCCCAGAGGAUUCAGCCGACUAGGAUGUAGUGUAUGCGCCUGGCGCAUCUAUCAGCCAGAGUAGGAUUGGAUGGUCCACUGGAAUAUAGUGGGCCCGGCGUCCUUUGGGCUCCUCGAUAUGUGUGUACCGUGUGUGUGCCAAAGUGUGAUGUGUUUGAGGGGUGUGUAGAGGCGGUGCUUUUUCUGUGUUGAGAACAACGAGAGCUGUGAUAGUGCCUCUGCGCUGUGUCCGUGGUGCGCUCUAUGGCGCCUUGUGCGGCCAGGUGCGGGCAUCACUCACACACUCACUCAACAGACUGCAGAUAUGUGUCUCUUUCUGUCUGCUUGCUAUCACUGACUGUGAGUGAACGAGCUUGCUGCUUGCUGGUUGUAGUCUGCAUCGCGUCUGUCUCAGAGGGGGUGGUAAUAACUAUACCUGUGCAAGGAGUCGAGUCUCAGACGCAUACUGCAUUCUGCGCUCAGCUGCAUGGGCUGGAUGCCGUGCUGUCUGCUCUCUGCUCGGUGGUGCUGAUCGAUCGUCUGUUGUCUAAAAAGACCAGCGCCGCUGCAUCGCUCAUGGAUCGGCAGUGUGUGUAGCGAUGAUGACUGCUGUCCACAUCAGUCGUGUAGUGAUUGACGACCUACUACACCCACCUGCAGCACGACCGACGGAGGUAAUU